AUCGUUUGACCCAUAAUUGAGGUAAUUUUGUGUAAUUCACCCUCGAUUUUUUUAAGCUUGCUCCGGCUCGGCUCGCAUAAGAACCAAGCUAAGCUUAACUCGAGCUCGAAAAAAACUUAAUCAAACUAAACUUGAGUACAAUGAUAUUUUAUUUGGCUCAGCUCGUUUACAGCUCUAUUUUGAAAAUAAUACAAUGACAUUUUUAUGUGGUGUACAGGGAGCAAUAUUUUUUAAUUAUUAUUAUUUUUGGAAUACAUACGAGAUUUUUAGAACACAUACGAGAUUAUUAGAACACAUACGAGAUUAUCUAUAUUAAGUGGUGGAUGAGUGCACUAAGCCUCACAAUGAACUAACCACAAUAAUUUGAUUUGAAUUCACCUUUGGCGAGAAUUAUACUUAAAUAUUUUCACUUACAAAUAAAGAUGAAGAUCAUUGUACCGUAGUACUAAGUGACAAUUAUUUUUAAUUCUUGAAGUUUGUGUGAUAAUGAAAGUCCGUCGGGAUCCAAACUUUUGGAAAUUAAGGGAAGAGAUAGUAGUGGUGCUCAGUGGCGGAUCCAGGAAUCUUACCCCAAGGGGUCGCAGUGUAAAAGUUCAAAUAAAAAUUUAGGAUGGAAAAACAUAUUGAGAAUGAAAUCAUAGUACUUUCAUUCAUAAUUCAUAAUGGAAACAAUAUUACAAACUAUAAUUGUCCACGACGAGGUUUUCAUAUUUUUGAAAACGAAGCAUUAUAGCUUCAUUUUCAAUACAAGCAAAAAUAUCUCUCUCAAUAUAAACAAGCAAGCUAUCACUCAACCAUUGAUCUCCCAUUUUGUUCCUAAGUGGACCCUUAACAAUAUUCAUGACAGAAAAUGCUCUCUCCACUGAAGCAGUUGCAACUGGUAAAACUAAAGACAAUGUAAUGAGCAAAUAUACAUAAUUGAAUACUUGAUGCAUCAUUGUCUCCACCAUUUUUUUUGCAAGAUCACCAAUCCCUUCCAAUUGAGAGAAAUCACUACUGGAACACACAUAAUGAAUAUAAAUCUCUCAAGUUGAUCUUCAAGUGCCAAACGAUCUUCAUCCGAAAAGUCUUGAGGAUAAAAUUGAGCAAGACGAAGUAACUUUGGUUUAUCAAAAGCUACAAAUGAAUCUUUCGGACUCAAACAUGCCAUACAAAUAAGCAACUCGGUAUUUACCUCAUUAAAGCGAUCCUCUAACUCCGUAAUUUUCUCAUCAAUGACAUAAAUAAAGAGCUCCACACGAUAAUGAUGACGAUUUGUCUUUAUUGGAGCAUAACGCCUUGACCUCCCUGGAAGUAUAAAUGCCUCUUCCAUGUUAGGAACAUCAAUAUGAUGUUUUUCACAAAAAAGAAGAUACUUCAUCAACCAAUGCAUCGAACCCAUUAUUCCUCAUCCAAUAUAGCUUUUCCUUGCAUGAUUUCACUAAAGCCAUUACAUUCACAAUUUCUUGAUCUUUCCUUUGCAAUGCUUGUGACAAAUCAUUUGCGAGUCCCAAUAUGACUUUCAUCAAGAAAAGGUGAAACACAAACUCAAAAGUAAGUAUCACUCUCAUUAACGUAUUUGCUUCACCCGCACUUUCAUUGGGAUUAUCAUCAAUAACCAUUUGAAGCACAUGAACCACGGAUGAAAACAUAGAAAUGAUGCUAAUCAAGGUACCAUAGUGUGAGUUCCAUCGUGUGUCACCGGCACGUUUGAGACUUGUUUCUUGAUUUAAGCCUCGCCCCGUUAUAAGACAAUCAUUUUCAAAAGCUAUCACAAGCUCUUCUUGAAGUUGCCCUCUAAGUGAAUCACGCCGCUUACAAAAGAUGCUCCAACAUGAUUAACCACAUUAUUAGCCGUUGCAAAAAAAGAGGCAAUGUCUAUAUUAUUCUUUGCUACGGCAACAAGAGCUAGUUGAAGUUGAUGAGCAAAAGCAAUGAACAUAAUAUGCACAAGGUUGUUCUCUCAAUAUCUUUGUUUUAAGGCCAUUCAACUCACCUCUCAUAUUGCUAGCACCAUCAUAACCUUGUCCUCGUAGCUUGGAAAUGCUCAAACCGUAGCGAGAAAACAAUGUGUCAAUAGCAUCCUUUAGUGAACUUGAAGUAGUGUCGGUAACAUGUUGGAUACCCACAAAUCUUUCAAUUACAUGCCCGUUGUCAUCCACAUAACGCAACACCAUAGCCAUUUGCUCUUUCACAGACACAUCACGUGCUUCAUCCACCAAUAUUGAAAAGAAUUUAUCUUUUAGACCAUCCAUGAUAGCAUCAAGUGUUUCAAGGGCACAUGAAUUCACAAUUUCUUUUUGAAUGGAAGGAGCUAGUAAUUUGAGAUUCCCCGGAGCAUUUUCCAUCACAACUUCUCUAACUUUAUCAUUAUUAUCUGCAAGGAAUUGCAAUAACUCCAAGUAAUUUCCCCUAUUGCUUGAAGUGGCACUUUCAUCAUGGCCACGAAAAGGAAGACCUUGUCGCAAUAAAAAACUUAGUGCACUUGAUUGAAGCAAUCAAGCAUGUGCGAUAAGCCUUACGAGUUUGGUCAGAGUGUUUGCUCACUGCCGUUUCAAUAUGUGUAGCUUGAUUCAUCAAAUUUGUAGCAGCUUCUCUAGCCUUAUUAUGAACACUCCCAACCGGUCCAACAUGCAUCUUAAAUCUUUCUCUCCCUUUCUUCCAAUUCUUAAAUCCAUCUCCAGUGAAAGCUUCACUACCCACUUGUUCAAAAUUGGUUUUAAAGAGAUAGCAAUAGAGACAAAAUGCCGCAUCUUUAGAUACACUAUACUCCAACCAAUCAAACUCAUCAAACCAUUGGGGAAUGAAGCGUCGAUUAAUUCCCGACAUAUUAGUUAUUGGGAAAUUAUGACCUCUAGGUUGACAAGGUCCUUUUUGUAGAUAUAAUCUUCGGACCUCAUCUCUCAUAUUAGCGUCAUAAUCUAUUAUUCGAGUUCUUAAUCCAGGAUCCGCUUGAAGAUUACCCAAAACAUCAUCAUCUAACUGACUUUGUCUUGAACUUGGAGUUCUUGAACUACCAACAGUAUUUGAACUAUCAACAUUAUUCGAACUACCCGAACCCGAUGAUGACUUUCUCUUAAAAAACCGUUCCAUAAUAAUGCUUGCUACAUAUACAAAAUAUUCAAAAUAAAUACUCACAAUAUAAACAAACCAUAAACAUAAUCAAAAUAAAUAUGAAUUGGAUUUUCAAUUAAAUUAAAUAUCUCAUCUUGCAUUCUAAUUUCUACAUAUACAAAAUAAUGAAAAUAAAAACUCACAAUAUAAACAAACCAUCAAUAUAAUCAAAAUAAAUAUGAAUUGAAUUUCAAUUAAAUUAAAUAUAUUCUACAUAUACAAAAUAUUCAAAAUAAAUACUCACAAUAUAAACAAACCAUAAACAUAAUCAAAAUAAAUAUGAAUUGGAUUUUCAAUUAAAUUAAAUAUCUCAUCUUGCAUUCUACAUAUACAAAAUAAUGAAAAUAAAAAAUCACAAUAUAAACAAACCAUCAAUAAAAACAAACCAAUAAAAACUCACAAUAUAAACAAAUCAUCAAUAUAAACAAACCAUCAAUAAAAACUCACAAGAUAAAUAUGAAUUGAAUUUCAAUUAAUUAAAUAUAUUCUACAUAUACAAAAUAUUCAAAAUAAAUACUCACAUCACAAUAUAAAAACCAAGGGAGGAGAUGGAGUUGGAGCCGCCAGCAGAGGAGGGAGGAGAUGGAGUUCACGUUGGGGGCGGCAGCAGCUAUGGAGGAGAGGAGUUGAGGAUUUGGGGGGAUUGAGUUAGGGUUGAAGGAUGAAAAUUUGGGGCUUUUAAUUGUAUUGGGAUCGGGUAGGAAGGGCUGGGAUGGGGAGGGACACGGUGGGAAUUUUUUUUUUUUUUUUUUUUUUUUUCGGCCUGGCCCAAAACGACGUCGUUUUGGCCAGGUCAUUUAAAAAAAUUUCCUGGGCCAAAACGACGUCGUUUUGCCCAGGUUUUUUCAAAAUCAAAACUGGCGCACAGCGCCUUCGUCUUCUUCGUUCGUCCUCUUGCCCAGAAAACCGACGACUCCAACGGCAACGGGGUCGCACCAGGGGUCGCCCCACCAUCUCCAAGGGGUCUCGAAGGUUGCUUCCAUGGCUUCCAAGGGGUCGCGCGACCCCAAUGACCCCACUGUGGAUCCGCCACUGGUGGUGCUAGUGGCGGAGCCAAGAUUUUAUAAUAACAGGGUCAUAAUCUAAGCUCCAAAAAAGUAAUUAUACUUUCAUUUAUAUUGUCAAUGAUGUGUUCUCAUAUUUUAAGAAACGUCAUAUUACACAAAGAGAAAAUGGGAAAAAAUUACUAAUAUAGAGCCAAAAAAGAAGACUAUGAGUUAAACACACAAUAAAGAAGAAUAGAGGAAAUCUUUUGUCAAAUGUGGAGAGUGAUUUUAACCAUGCUUAAUAAAAGUGUAGUGAGUCGUAUGUUCUUUCUUAGUUUUUUUACAAGGUUCAAGGGGAGAUUGAGUUCAGGUUAUAAGAUAAAUCAUAAGCAUUUAGUUGGGUUAUUGCGUUUAAUAGAGGUUUAAUUUAAGUUAGAGAAAAAGAGAGAUAGAGGAGAGAAAGAAGAAAAUACAAACAAAGAGUUGUUGUGCUACAAAUGGGAGAACGACUGAGAUAAAAUGAGCUUGGAGUGGAGUAAGACAACUAAAAAAAGGGCCAAAAAUCACCUACAAAUUUGCUAUAGGAGUCCAGACAAAUUAACAAGGGUAAAUACAUUGCGUUGUUGGGUUCAUGGGUGCUCAAUUUCCCUUUUAUUAAAAAUGUGUCUUAAAAGUCAAUCAUGAGGUGAUAGUUAACGAAUAUUUUACAUGCUAAAUUAAUUUAAUUUAAUUUAAAGGCAAGAUUAUUAUUUAAUGUGGCCUCAUUAAAUGUUUUAGUCCUUCGUUGUUGGCUCGCCUUCAUUCUUAAGGACU
rnacentral:lncRNA from 1 species